rnacentral:piRNA from 1 species
UAGACAUUAGAUUUAAAACCAUAUGAGAUGU